GACGGCAAUAGCGCCGUGGAACCACCUGAUCCCAUGCCGAACUCAGAAGUGAAACGCGGUAGCGUCGAUGGUAGUGUGGCAUUCGCCAUGCGAG
rnacentral:rRNA from 1 species